rnacentral:tRNA from 1 species
GGGGUUGUGGCUUAGUGGUGGAGCACAUGCCUUACAUGUAUGUGAGACACUGGGUUGUAUCCUCAGCACCA